CUAGACUAGGGCCCUACUCUACCUAGUUGAGUAGGUGAUCACAGCCUCCUACACCUUCUAGUAGGUAGAGUAGGGCCCUACUCUAC